rnacentral:lncRNA from 1 species
UGGCGGAGCCUGAGUGAGACCCAGUGCCUCCGGGGUCAGGCCUGAAUCAGAGACACUGCAGCCCGGGACAGCCACAUCAGUUACCUUGCCCUUCUGGAAAUGUGUAGGCGCGGUCCUCUUCUUGGGCAGUCUGGAAGUCUACCCCUCGGGCCUCGGCUCCUGUUCCAGAGGAGCAGAAACGCUCUUUGACUGCACACAAGGACUAGACAGCAGAAGCUUAGAGAAACCCCAGGAAUCCCUUUGUGCUCUGUUCCAGCCUGUCCAAGGUUCUGACACCUCAUGGUACAUCUCCUGCUCAGCCAUCCUCAGAUGGAAGUCUGCUCCUCAUCUGUUCCUGCCCAAAAGCCUGUUCAAGUCUUGAGGAGCCGUCCUCGAUGCUGCUGGCGGAGCCUGAGUGAGACCCAGUGCCUCCGGGGUCAGGCCUGAAUCAGAGACACUGCAGCCCGGGACAGCCGCAUCAGUUACCUUGCCCUUCUGGAAAUGUGUAGGCGCGGUCCUCUUCUUGGGCAGUCUGGAAGUCUACCCCUCGGGCCUCGGCUCCUGUUCCAGAGGAGCAGAAACGCUCUUUGGUGAGUUGGGCGCGAUGGCCUUGCUGUCGUCACGGGGUAGGUGGGGCCUGGGGUGCAGAUAGCAGGCAAGGGGUGUGCAUGUGAGGGGUGGAGGGGAGAGGAGGAGGAGAGAGGCGGCCAAGGGAGAUUCGGGAGGAGAGAGGAAGGGGGGAGAAGGAAAAGGUGGCGUGAAGGUGGGGUGGCGUGGAAGGAAGGGGAAGGAAGGCGUGUGGGGCAGCGUCGAGGGAGGGCGAGUGUGACAGGAGUGCUGGUGGGCGGGUGGAGGCGGGGGUUGGGAGAGGAAGAACUUUUCCCACGGCCCGGGUUCCAUUUUGGAGGUUUCCUGGCCCUGGCUGGAAUCAGUCUUGGCCACGUCCGUGAGAAGCGGCCUUGACUCCCGGCCUCUCUUCUCUGGGUGGUUCUGAACUGUAAUGUGUGUGCGGGAAAACUGGCCUGGGGCACUCGAAUUAACUUGCACGUAAUCCGGUGAAUUUUCACAGACUGCACACAAGGACUAGACAGCAGAAGCUUAGAGAAACCCCAGGAAUCCCUUUGUGCUCUGUUCCAGCCUGUCCAAGGUUCUGACACCUCAUGGUAAGUACUGGAUUGUUUUUUCUUUUUAAAGACUGGUGUGAAAGGCAGAGUUACUGAUGAGGCAGUGGUGGAGAGAGAGUCAGUGUAUGGGU